UGAGCUUGGUGUCUAAUGGGACAGUAGU
rnacentral:piRNA from 1 species